rnacentral:rRNA from 1 species
UGGAGGGGAUGAGUUGUGGAUAGGGGUGAAAGGCCAAUCAAACACCGUGAUAGCUGGUUCUCCCCGAAAUGCAUUGAGGUGCAGCGUUGCGUGUUUCUUGUUGGAGGUAGAGCACUGGAUGGUCUAGGGGGCUUAUCGGCUUACUGAAAUCAGCCAAACUCCGAAUGCUGGCAAGUGUAGCGUGGCAGUGAGACGGCGGGGGAUAAGCUUCGUCGUCGAGAGGGAAACAGCCCAGAUCAUCAGCUAAGGCCCCUAAGUGGUGACUGAGUGGGAAAGGAUGUGGAGUUGCGUAGACAACCAGGAGGUUGGCUUGGAAGCAGCCAUCCUUGAAAGAGUGCGUAAUAGCUCACUGGUCAAGUGAUUCCGCGCCGAUAAUGUAGCGGGGCUUAAGUUAUUCGCCGAAGCUGUGGCAACCGUGUUCGGUUGGGUAGGGGAGCGUCGUGUCAGUGGUGAAGCUGCCGGGUGACCGUGUGGUGGAGGUGAUGCGAGUGAGAAUGCAGGCAUGAGUAGCGUUUGACGGGUGGGAAUCCCGUCCGCCGAUUAUCCAAGGGUUCCAGGGUGAAGUUUGUCUGCCCUGGGUGAGUCGGGUCCUAAGGCGAGGCCGACAGGCGUAGUCGAUGGGUAACCAGUUGAUAUUCUGGUACCGGCAUGUCACCGUCCGUGUCGAGGUGUGUGAUGCUAAGCGUGCGAGUGUCCUGG